GCUUCCUGUCUCUCUGCGCCAGCCUCGGCCUGCGGCGGGGUAGAGCGCCGGAAACGGCUUUAGCGGCUUUGGGAAUUGCGGGCGAAAGUUAAACGGAGAGAUCUUAGAGAUUUGCCCGCAAAUCGAAACAAAACUGCCCCUACUAACUCUGUGCCAACCUGUGCACCGUCUCACUGUGAACCCCUGAAAAUGCCUUUCUGGAGAAGGUUAAGCAAAUGCCUGAGAUGAUUUUGCCAUAAACCCGAGCGUUGCACCAGACACGCGUCUGGAUUGAUAGGUUGAAACCAGUAAAGUGGGGGAGUGAAAUAAAAACUAAAGCCCUAGUUAAAUCCUAGCAUUAUGGUCAAAUCGAUUUUGGAGACAGGUCGGUCCGCUAAAACAAAGUAACAGUAGACCGGCUGCAAGCUGCUUUGGGUGUCCACUUUCGUUUCUCACGAAGUCCUGAUAAGUUUUUUUUUUUUUUGAAAAGUAUUAAACGUACCUCUACAGGACUGGAAAUGCAACUCACAUGAGCCUUUUUAAGAAACGGGGAGGAAGGCCGGGCACGGUGGCUUAUGCCUGUAAUCCCAGCACUUUGGGAGGCCGAGGCGGGCGGAUCACGAGGUCAGGAGUUCGAUACUAGCCUUGCCCACAUGGUGAAACCCCAUCUCUACUUAAAAAUGCAAAAUUAGCUGGGCGUGGUGGUGCGCGCCUGUAAUCCCAGCUACUCUGGA
rnacentral:lncRNA from 10 species